rnacentral:sRNA from 1 species
UCUGAGACUAGCAGCAGAAGUGGCCUUAUCAGGGCCCUCCCAGAGCUCCUGGAAGGUGAGCUCCCAGAGGUAGGGCCCCAUGCGGGGAUGUAGCUGAACCAACCUUUGCUAAGGAGAUGAGUUGUAUGACUCAUGGAUUGUCAGCCAUCUCAGAGGAAUUCAG